rnacentral:rRNA from 1 species
GGUGAACGCUGGCGGCGUGCCUAAUACAUGCAAGUCGAGCGAACGGACGAGAAGCUUGCUUCUCUGAUGUUAGCGGCGGACGGGUGAGUAACACGUGGAUAACCUACCUAUAAGACUGGGAUAACUUCGGAAAACCGGAGCUAAUACCGGAUAAUAUUUUGAACCGCAUGGUUCAAAAGUGAAAGACGGUCUUGCUGUCACUUAUAGAUGGAUCCGCGCUGCAUUAGCUAGUUGGUAAGGUAACGGCUUACCAAGGCAACGAUGCAUAGCCGACCUGAGAGGGUGAUCGGCCACACUGGAACUGAGACACGGUCCAGACUCCUACGGGAGGCAGCAGUAGGGAAUCUUCCGCAAUGGGCGAAAGCCUGACGGAGCAACGCCGCGUGAGUGAUGAAGGUCUUCGGAUCGUAAAACUCUGUUAUUAGGGAAGAACAUAUGUGUAAGUAACUGUGCACAUCUUGACGGUACCUAAUCAGAAAGCCACGGCUAACUACGUG